CACUCCUGCGGGAGGCAGCAGUGGGGAAUAUUGCACAAUGGGCGCAAGCCUGAUGCAGCCAUGCCGCGUGUGUGAAGAAGGCCUUCGGGUUGUAAAGCACUUUCAGCGGGGAGGAAGGCGAUACGGUUAAUAACCGUGUUGAUUGACGUUACCCGCAGAAGAAGCACCGGCUAACUCCGUGCCAGCAGCCGCGGUAAUACGGAGGGUGCAAGCGUUAAUCGGCAUUACUGGGCGUAAAGCGCACGCAGGCGGUCUGUCAAGUCGGAUGUGAAAUCCCCGGGCUCAACCUGGGAACUGCAUUCGAAACUGGCAGGCUUGAGUCUUGUAGAGGGGGGUAGAAUUCCAGGUGUAGCGGUGAAAUGCGUAGAGAUCUGGAGGAAUACCGGUGGCGAAGGCGGCCCCCUGGACAAAGACUGACGCUCAGGUGCGAAAGCGUGGGGAGCAAACAGGAAUAGAAACCCCUGUAGUCCCAUGAU
rnacentral:rRNA from 1 species